rnacentral:rRNA from 1 species
GACGAACGCUGGCGGCGUGCUUAACACAUGCAAGUCGAACGGAAAGGCCCUGCUUUUGUGGGGUGCUCGAGUGGCGAACGGGUGAGUAACACGUGAGUAACCUGCCCAUGACUUUGGGAUAACUUCAGGAAACUGGGGCUAAUACCGGAUAGGAGCUCCUGCUGCAUGGUGGGGGUUGGAAAGUUUCGGCGGUUGGGGAUAGACUCGCGGCUUAUCAGCUUGUUGGUGGGGUAGUGGCUUACCAAGGCUUUGACGGGUAGCCGGCCUGAGAGGGUGACCGGCCACAUUGGGACUGAGAUACGGCCCAGACUCCUACGGGAGGCAGCAGUGGGGAAUAUUGCACAAUGGGCGGAAGCCUGAUGCAGCAACGCCGCGUGCGGGAUGACGGCCUUCGGGUUGUAAACCGCUUUCGCCUGUGACGAAGCGUGAGUGACGGUAAUGGGUAAAGAAGCACCGGCUAACUACGUG